UAACACCCUUCUAAAAUACCCCAAUAAUUAAUUAAAAUAACAAUAUAUAAAUCAGAGUAGAUAUGCAAUUUCAGGGUGUCACACUUGACACUUCACACCAUUCACCAAAAUAUCUUGUCAUGCUUAUUUAUUAAUCAAAACAAGGCAUUGCACAAUCCGCAGCGGAUAGAAAUCUAACAACAUGCAAACCAUGUAACACAUUACAUGUAAAGUUGUUCAACAACCAAAAUGGAAAUAAAGUAAAACAUCCCGCCGUCCCGAUGUUACAUAGACCAGAG
rnacentral:lncRNA from 1 species